rfam:Streptococcus dysgalactiae subsp. dysgalactiae ATCC 27957 chromosome, whole genome shotgun sequence.
CCAACUAUUCCGUUAGUUGAGCCAAGUAUCAACUGCAUGUUCGCCAUGUGGUAAGCUGAUACGUAAGGUAGCCCUACUUUAAGGUCGAACCGUGAGGGGAGACCGAUACUGCUAGCAACAAAGCGGUUAGGGAG